rnacentral:other from 1 species
AAUAUUCUGCCUUGUUCGAGUAAUUAUAGUUUUUUAUAAUCCAACACAUCUCAUUAGGGAAUCCAGCUCCGGUUGUGGAUUGCAGACCUCCCGACUUACAGACAUUUUUUCUGUUUGCGGACGAAGGGAGCGUGAAGCAUUCGGGCGUUUACCCACCUGCUUCGUGCGGGUUUUAUGCACUAUAUGACGGCAAGGCGGAUUAUUU